GAACACUCCAAAGGGGAGUAGCUUUCACAGUAAAGUCGUCAUUACGGGACAAGGUGUCCUCGGCUUUGCUGGCAAUCUCAUUGUUAGCGAGACCUUUGCCAAAUCU
rnacentral:misc_RNA from 1 species